rnacentral:lncRNA from 1 species
ACUAUAGGGCAUACCAUUUCUCUCUGACAUUUGUCAGUGAAGUUGCCUACAAUCUUCUUACACACAUUGAGUACAGAAGAUAUUUCAAAUUGUUUUCAGUGAAAACAAAUCCUUCCAUAACAGUAACAGUUCCACAGAUUUCCUCUCUAAAUUUUUAUGCCUGCUUUUAGCAACCAUGAAAUUGUCAUAAAAUUAAUGGAUUUAGAAAUUAAUAAAGAUUUAUAUAUCCGCUCUUAUAAAAACACAGCUGAGUUCUUAGAGUUGAUUCCUCAAGUUAUAAAAUACUUUUGUACUAAUUCCAUUUCUUGAUUAGAGUGAUUGAAAUGGUCUUAAUAUUCUUUUGACUGAAGUUUGAAACUGGGCUCCUACUAAAUAUUGUCUCUGUGAUUAAAAGUUAGAUCUCAGGCUUCUCUUAGACACAGAAGCGUGUGCAAUAUUCUUAAAUACUACUACUCUAAAGUUGGGGGAGCCUUGCAUUUAUCUUAGCCUUAAGUACAGUCUAAGACAAGAAAAUUCCUUUUCUUAUUUAGUCUUUCUGCCAUUUUUAAUUUUCAGUUGUAUGUGCUGAAAUAACUACUGGUAAGAUUUCAGGGUUGUGAAUUAUCCUCUGCAUAUGAGUUUCCUGUCUCCUGGCACUAAUGGAAGUCCAAUCUGUCAGCCAUGGUGCCAGUGCUGGUGCUUCAUCCUGUUGCUGGCAGUGGGAUGCAAACUAAGAAAAUCAAGUUAGAGCUCUUGAAAUUGUGGUUUUUAGGCUCACACCCUGUUUUUAUAAACAACAUCAAAAUGGCAGAACCUUUGCUGACUUUAAGUUCAUAUGAGGAAUGUGCUUAAAUCCUCUCCAGUACUGUCAGUAUUGUGGAAGAAUUCCUCUUACAGAUAAGGAUCACUGGCAUCUCUGCUCUUCUUUGCACUCGUCACCCUCUUCCCUCUUCCAAGUUCCUUUACAGUUUAGUCAAUUGUUUUCAAGUUUGAUCCGAGUUGGGUUCCCUUUCUUUUGAUUGUUCUUCCUCCUCUCCUCUCCCUCCUCUUCUUCCUCUUAGAUAAAGUUAUUUCACUUAAUACUCUUAAGAGAAUUUUUUUUUCUUUUCUAGAAAAAUCAGUGUAUUUCUUUUUCUAGAUCCAGGUUUGUUUAAAACAACCUAUAAUUUCACUUAUGUUCAAUCUGAUUGUUUUAAGUUUCUUCAAUAAGAAGAUUGUGUUUGACUAUGGGAGUCAACUCAUUAUGGCAAUAUCAUUUUUGAAAUCAUGAUGUAAAACAAGUAGUAGAAACAGCUAAAGAAAAGCUGGGUGGAGUGUUUGUUCUAGGCAUCACUGGACUUGAUUGAGAUUGAAUUGAACAUGAGCUUAAAACUUGUUAUUUGUUGUUUGGAUAAUAAAAGAUUUCCAUUUUUAUCUUG